UACGUAGGUGACAAGCGUUGUCCGGAUUUACUGGGCGUAAAGAGCGCGCAGGCGGUCGUUCAAGUCGAGUGUGAAAGCCCCCGGCUCCAACUGGGGAGGGUCACUCGAUACUGAUCGACUCGAAGGCAGGAGAGGGUAGUGGAAUUCCCGGUGUAGUGGUGAAAUGCGUAGAUAUCGGGAGGAACACCAGUGGCGAAGGCGACUACCUGGCCUGUUCUUGACGCUGAGGCGCGAAAGCUAGGGGAGCAAACGGG
rnacentral:rRNA from 1 species